GGAUAAAAGGUACUCCGGGGAUAACAGGCUGAUACCGCCCAAGAGUUCAUAUCGACGGCGGUGUUUGGCACCUCGAUGUCGGCUCAUCACAUCCUGGGGCUGAAGUAGGUCCCAAGGGUAUGGCUGUUCGCCAUUUAAAGUGGUACGCGAGCUGGGUUUAGAACGUCGUGAGACAGUUCGGUCCCUAUCUGCCGUGGGCGCUGGAGAACUGAGGGGGGCUGCUCCUAGUACGAGAGGACCGGAGUGGACGCAUCACUGGUGUUCGGGUUGUCAUGCCAAUGGCACUGCCCGGUAGCUAAAUGCGGAAGAGAUAAGUGCUGAAAGCAUCUAAGCACGAAACUUGCCCCGAGAUGAGUUCUCCCUGAGACUUUAGGUCUCCUGAAGGAACGUUGAAGACGACGACGUUGAUAGGCCGGGUGUGUAAGCGCAGCGAUGCGUUGAGCUAACCGGUACUAAUGAACCGUGAGGCUUAACCUUACAACGCCGAAG
rnacentral:rRNA from 1 species